rnacentral:tRNA from 1 species
GGGUCGAUUCCAGAGCGGUCAAAUGGGGCAGACUGUAAAUCUGUUGGCUUACGCCUUCGCUGGUCCGAAUCCAGCUCGGCCCACCA